AUACUUCUCACAUGCCCUGAUAAAAGUAUUGAAAUCUCUCCUACUCCAUGUUGAAAAUCCUUCUUCUAAUAAUUUGUCCUUCUCUUCCUGCUCGUCGGCAGUUAAAGGAUCUCCGACAUCUUCGGGCUCUUCCACUUCAAUGCUAUCUUUUAAUUGAUUUUUCUGGUGAGCUUGCAUGAGAAAACGAACUUCCUUCUCGUACAGCUCACUUAGCCUCUGGGUAUUAAAGAACUGAAAGUCGUGCAGCUGAGGCAUCCUAGGAAUCCUGGGCUCUUUAGGUCUAGCAGGACCACUUGGUCGCAUGGUUUGCUUGAAAUAUUCAGACUCCGAGUAAUUGCGCUUUCUCUCCCUUCUUGGAGGUUCUAUCCAAUUGUCACCAGCAAUUUUCUUGAAAUGUGCCUUGUUUUCAUCCUUCUCGUCUUCAAAGUCAUACAAAUCAGCAGUAUCGUCCAUUUUAAAUUUGAUAGCAUCUUCUGUAAACUUCUUCAUCUUG
rnacentral:misc_RNA from 1 species